AUUUCCCUCCAGUGCCCUUCCAAUUCCCCUUCCCCUUCCCCUCCGCCGUAUCCCACCACUCCCAUUCCCAUUCCCACUCCCCUUUCCGCUUCCCCUGUGCCAUCUCCCUCCAGUCCCCUUCCAAUUCCCAUUCCCCUUGCCCUGAGGCAUCUCCCUCCAGUCCCAGUCCCAUUCCCAUUAGCCCCUUUCCCUGUGCCAUCUCCCUCCAGUCCCCUUCCCAUUCCCUCUCCCCUUCCCCUGAGGCAUCUUCCUGCUCUCCCAUUCCAAUUCCCAUUCCCCUUCCUCCUCCCCUGCAGCAUUACCCUCCUAUCCCUUUCACAUUCCCUUUUCCCUUCCCCUGCAGCAUCGCCCUCCAGUCCCAUUGCAAAUCCCAUUCCCCAUUCCCCUUUCCCCUGCAGCAUCUCCCUCCAGUCCCCUUCCCAUUCCCUUUCCUUUUCCCUUGUGGCAUCUCCCUCCAAUCCCAUUCCAAAUCCCAUUCCCCUUUCACCGUACCCUGUGCCAUCUCCCUCCAGUCCCCUUCCCAUUCCCUUUCCCCUUCCCCUGAAGCAUCUCCCUCCAAUCCUAUUCGAAAUCCCAUUCGCCUUUCUCCUUACCCUGUGGCAUUUCCCUCCAGUCCCCUUCCAAUUUCUCUUCCCAUUCCCCUAAGGCAUCUCCCUCUAGUCCCCUUCCC
rnacentral:lncRNA from 1 species